rnacentral:tRNA from 1 species
GCAGUGGUGGUUCAGGGGUAGGAUUCUCGCCUUCUGUGCAGGUGACCUAGGUUUGAUUUCUGGCCAACGCA